AGUGGGAUCAUCGCCUCCAUCCCAUAGGCUAAGUUGAAAGGAGACUCUCUAGUCGGUAUAUGGAGAGUUGUCCGAUACGUCCAUAGGACUGGAUAUAACUCUUUGACCCAAAGAUCUUUAGCCUCAUUCAGUCAGGUCUUUAACUUGUGCAAGAUUGUUCAGUUGGUCACCUCAACCUCUCUGUUUGAUUGUGGGUGCCCGACUGAUGUAAGCUUGUGUAUAAU
rnacentral:lncRNA from 1 species